rnacentral:tRNA from 1 species
ACAUUGGUGGUUCAGUGGUAGAAUUCUUCUCCUUCCAUGUGGGUGACCCAGGUUUGACUCCCAGCCAAUGUA